rnacentral:lncRNA from 1 species
UAAGUACCAUUCUUCAUCUCCUCCCUCAUCUCUCUCAAGACAAAUCCUAGCGCCGCCCUAAAAUUCCCUUCCCCUCUGAUAGAGGCACUGAUCCCGACCCACCCCAAACUCACCUAUCAACCCUCCCGUCCCCCUUUGUCCUAAUCUCAACGCAGUGUCCCUCGAAUCAAUCUCAAUCUCAUCGAAUAGUGAAUCAAAAUAUGGGACCUAAAAUAAAUCACCAGAUUUUGUAGUAGUUGAGGCCGAAAUGGACCUUGUUCGUGUGUUUUCAUAUGAGAACACGUGAUUGAGGCCCCCUUUGGUUAAAAUCGAGAUAUUGAAGAAGAACUUCAAGGCCUGGCCAGUU